UUCAGUUUGGGAACGCGGUGUAAAUCGAAUUCUUAAAAAUUUUAAAUUUUUUUUUUUGUUAAAAUUUAAUAUGAUUUGUAUGUUUUGGAUCGUUUUGAUGUGUUGAUAUCAAAAAUAAUUUUAAAAAAUAAAAAAACAUCAUUAACAUGCAUUUCAGCAUGAAAAGUUAUUUGAAAAGCAACCGCUACCACACUGCCAAACAUAUCGAUCCCACUUCCCUCUAUGUUUUGUUUUCUUCUUUUUUUGUUUCCAGCUAUGACAAUGCAUACCAUAACCUUGUCCUCAAGGUGAAAUUCAGGAAACCUCAAGCACAAUUCAUCAGCAUAUUCCCAGGUUGUUUCUGUCAAGGAAGAGAUCUAUUUGUAGGAGUAGGAAGAUCAGAGUGGAAUAGUGGAUAGUCUGAUUGCCUACAUGCUUCUUCAGCUGAGAAACAUGAAAGACAAGAUGGAUUGCUGUUGUUGCAGUCGUAUCUCAAAGACUCGGACCUCGAAGACUGAAGGAAGCCAUUGAAUGGUUAUUUGAAGCUUAUGCAGAAUAGUGUUUGUCAGGUUGGUUGGUGGAUAAAUGAGUGACUUGCACCAUUUUCUUGUAUUUUUAUGAGAUAGGUAUAUUUGUCAAAAUGUAAGAAAAUGAAUGGAGCUAGUAGCUUAUCAUAUAGAUAGAAGAGCUUAAUAUAGAUAUGGAUGUGAAUUCGAUUUUUACGAGGUUAUAUAUACAUGUUGAUGGUGUUCUUGGGCAGGAAGAGAAUUUCAAAGCUGAAUUUUGUAAUUGUAGAAAGAACAAUAUUAUUCUUGCUGAAUAGAUGAUUAUGCUGAUGGACUCCAAAUUUCUGAAGAAUUAUUGUACCUUUUGUCUUGUAAAUCUACCUUCAUCUUACAUAAUAUGUUGCUAUUAAUUCAUGGUUAUCUUCUUGCAAUUAGGAAAGCUUUAUAAAUAGUGGCAUCUUGUUCCUUAUCUCAGCCCGCCCAUUGGAUUAUCGGAUCAGAUUCAACAAGCGAUGUUCCAUGGCUUGAGAAGAACAGGGAAAGCAGGUCGUGGAGAAUGCAGAACAUCUUCAACUCCAUCAGCAAGUUAAAAAGGGUAACAAAAAUUUGGCGACAGGUACAGUAGUUAAAAUAGAGCCAGGUAGAGGUCAGAUCCUGGAAGGCAAAACAAAAAUUAUAGACUGUUAUCAACCAUGAUUUUAACAUCUUUAAAGCGACCCCUUCGUCUACAAAUGAUCACUUCCUUCUCAUACUUAAUGCCACAACACAUACACCUCAGCCUUGUCAGAAGCUACAAACAUGUGUAAUCACUUUUCAUAUCGGAAGCAUAUAUAUUGAGAACAAUAUGCUUAAAAGAUUUGUAAUUCGAGCCAAUAAGUGGAGAAAUUUAUAAAAUA